rnacentral:rRNA from 1 species
AUUGAACGCUGGCGGCAGGCCUAACACAUGCAAGUCGAGCGAACCUAGCUUGCUAGGUGAGCGGCGAACGGGUGAGUAACACGUAGGAAUCUGCCCGAUAGUAGGGGACAACGUCUCGAAAGGGACGCUAAUACCGCAUACGCCCUAAGGGGGAAAGCAGGGGAUCUUCGGACCUUGCGCUAUCGGAUGAGCCUGCGUCGGAUUAGCUAGUUGGCGGGGUAAAGGCCCACCAAGGCGACGAUCCGUAGCUGGUCUGAGAGGAUGAUCAGCCACACCGGAACUGUGACAUGGGCCGGACUCCUACGGGAGGCAGCAGUGGGGAAUAUUGGACAAUGGGGGCAACCCUGAUCCAGCCAUGCCGCGUGUGUGAAGAAGGCCUUCGGGUUGUAAAGCACUUUAAGCGGAGAGGAAAGUUUGCUGGCUAAUAUCCAGCGGAAUUGACGUUACCCGCAGAAUAAGCACCGGCUAACUCCGUGCCAGCCGCCGCCGUAA